AAAGUUUUUGAAAUAUAAAGAAGCAUUUCUCUGAAAUUUAACCCUCCCACAGUACAAGUGACCUUCCUUGGGGACUUUUCCAGCCAAGAAUGAUCACAGCCGCGAGGGGGUCUGUAUCCUUGGACCCCCAGGCCCCUCAAAAGCAGGACAGAAUUGUGGUGGUGAAGGUGGAGGCAGAGGGCCACUUUAUCCUCGCAGCCGGGAGCUGGCCCACUCGCGCUUCAGACGGUUCUACCACCAGGAGACCAGGAGAUUUGCCACCCGGUGAGGUUCUGCGAUGUCCCCAUGAGCUCUGCCACCAGGGGCUGAGGCUGGAGAGACAUCGCAAGCUGCCCAUCCUGGAGCUGCUGAUGCUGGAGCAGUUCCUGGCCAUCCUGCCCCCGGGGCUGCAGAGCUGGGGCUGGGAGCGCCCCUGGGCCGUGGAGAGGAGCUGGCUGUGACGGACCGGAAGUUUCCUGGGGGCAGAGGGCACCUCCACCAGCGGCACAAGAACCACCACACGUCGCCAGCUUCAGCCAGUGAGACCCAGUUCAAACGCGGAUCUUGGGAGCUCCACCCCCUCCAAGCCAGUGCCUCAUUUUUCAUCGUGGUGUCACAUGCCGCCAUUCAUGUCAUGGGUCCCCUGUGAUCGGCAGGGGUUUUAUCUCCACAGCCACCUUUGCACAGCAAUAAUAUUUGGAUUCUCUCCGUCUGGGUUCCGAUGGUGACCUCAGGACUGAGGACGGCUUCAGCUCAGAUCAGGAACUUGCUGAAGGAAGGCCUCCCCAGUGACUCAAGCAGACUCCAGGGAAGCUCUACAGGCGCCAGAGCUGGGAGGCCCGCAGAAUGUUCCAGGCCCUUGGGCCGCCUCAGGGAACCUCCCAGAGAGCAGGCCGAGCAGCCAUCCUGCCCAAGAGAGGAGUUUCAAGCAGGAGAGAGAAGAGACAAGCCAUGAAGGUGACAAGUGACAAGCCUGCAGGCCAGGUUUCUCUAAAAAAAGAGGUAGGGAACCUCCCUGCAGUCCGACUUCCUUUCACCUGGGAGCCGAGAAUGGGAACCAAGAGAAGCCUGUGUCUUGUGGACCCCGCCCUGGCGGCCUCAGGAGCAGGACCUCUUUCGGCCACCAGAGGGGGGUGUCUGCUCACGCACGUCUGUCCCAGUUUUCUCCUCGGGUCCAGGAAUGGGCAGCUCCCCUGGAAGCCACCGUGGCCACUCCUCGCUUUAUUGCUCAUUCUGCUCCCUGCCCCCCCGGGAAACCUUCUUGGUUCCUGA
rnacentral:lncRNA from 1 species